rnacentral:rRNA from 1 species
UACGUAGGUGGCGAGCGUUGUCCGGAAUUACUGGGUGUAAAGGGAGCGUAGGCGGGAGAGCAAGUCGACUGUGAAAGCUAUGGGCUUAACCCAUAGAUGCGAUCGAAACUGUUCAUCUUGAGUGAAGUAGAGGCAGGCGGAAUUCCUAGUGUAGCGGUGAAAUGCGUAAAUAUUAGGAGGAACACCAGUGGCGAAGGCGGCCUGCUGGGCUUUAACUGACGCUGAGGCUCGAAAGCGUGGGUAGCAAACAGG